ACUGAGGAAUGAUGACAAGAAAAGGCCGAAUUGCAGUGUCUCUAUCAGCAGUUUGCUCUCUCUUUGGGCACACAAUGACAAAAUAUCCUGAAGCGAACCAAUAGUCUGACCUCAGU
rnacentral:snoRNA from 2 species